UUUCCAGCAUGAGAUUGUGGUGUUUUUCCUUCUCUACAUCUAACCUUCUUCUCAACAUGUCUAGCUGAUCUUUCUUCUCGGUCAAGUAUUCAUUCCGGUUUUCAGCAUCUGAUUCAUUGUUUUCGCUGUUCUUGACAUUGCUGAUCAAAAAGAGCCUUCACAUCUUUAGCAAAGCUUUUCAAUGCAAAGGCCACUGAUUUAUCUGGCAAUUUCUCUAUGGAGGCUAACCAGUCAUGGCAUAUCAUGAGCAAUGGCGGCCCAUUGACCCUGCAGGACACAGCUGAUCCCUUACUUCUAGAGUAGAAUUCAACUUCAGGGACUAUGAACUUGGUUAGCCAACCGUGAAGAGCUUCAACGUAUGCUUUCUGGGCCGAAACAUAUUCCACAAAGCACGCACGCCAGUUGUUAAGCUCAACCUUGAGCUGAACCGUUGCUGCCUGGUGAGAUUCGUUACUGAAUUUCCCAAAUGCAGAACAAGUGAAAGUUUUCACUUCAAUCAGAAUCUUAUUCUGGGUUUCAUGUGAUUCCAACAAAAGUUUCCAUGUUCGAGUUAAUCUGCACAAAGAUAAAACAAAAUGUUAAACCAAGGAAACAACAAACCCUUUAAAAUAACUUGACUGUUCUUGGUAUCCCAUUCCGCUUUCCAUACCCUUUCAACAGUUCAACAAUCUGAGGCAGCAAUUCUUCAUCUCUUAGUUUCUCGAUCUUUAUCGAGAUUGAUUCAGCGCUCCUAAUAGCAACCAAGAUCCUGGCAUACAAAUCUUUCACUGUAGCUCUAGUUUUAUCCAUAGUUAGCUCAUCAUCUCCUCUAACAUCCAGAUUUCUUAAGCGCGAACACUUUUUCUCAUACAGUUUCCUUGUGCUAUCACCAGCCUAUUGGACAUCGAAAAAGCAUAUCACAUGAGUUUUAAGGAACACACAACACCACAAAAGGUCUUAAGGGAAACAGUUUUAGGAAGUGAGAAAAUGUACCUUCACUUCUUCAUAGAGCUUUUUCUCCCAAGCAUAUAUUCUUCCUAGUGUAAGUGAAUGGCUUCCGGCAGCCAUUCCUCCAUAAUCAUCGAAAAGAUCAUUCCUAAACUCUGUCCAAGAUGAACUACUUUUGGAGGUUGAUACUACUAGACUCUUACAUGAUGAAGGCUUAGACGAAAUGGAUCGGUGACGUGCAGACUGAAUUAGUUUUGUUGAGUUUUCUGUAUUGAAUAGAACAAUUCAAGAAUCAUUUUAAGCACACCAAUAUAGUUAUGAAACAUUUGAAA